GAAACAGGGUUUUUCUUCUCCAACUACUUAACACCUAGCCGUGUGACAUUGAGAAGAGGGACGUCCAAAGGCUGCCUUACAAACCACAAUGAUAAACUGACGAUGGACACAAACCUUGGCUUGUGUACAUGUAUCUUGAUCUCAGGUACCUAAAACAUGUGUAUGGAAUUGUAUCAUCACUUGUCCCUGUCUCAGAUGUCCCAAGGGAAGUCAAUGGGAUUGCCAUCUAAAAUACAUAAGCAAAGUACUCAUAGGGGCUUAAGUCUCUUAGUAAAGACCAGUCAGAACGAUAAGAGCUCAACCCUGGCCUCCAAAAACCUGUUUACUCUAAUUCGUUACCAGCUUUCUAAUUAACUUGGCACUCUCUCUCCAAUCUGCUUUGUUUAUAAGAUUAAAUUUCGGAUUGUCAGGACAAGAACGGACCAUGACAUUUUGAUUAGGAAUCUAUUAUUCUCUCCAAAGGCUUCUAUUAUAAUUGCUAUCGGUACAAUAAUAGGAGUCAUGGCAGAAGAUAAGUUUAUAAUGUCCUCUCAACCUUUUAUAAAGCUUUGCAAACGUGACCAGGAAGAAACUUCUGUUUUAUGCCUCUAAAAGAUGAGUAUUAAUUGUUGCUUUUGAUCUGGUUGUCAUGUUACUUUCAGUAUAUUUCUAUGAGAGUAAUUCUGAUGUUGCACUGUGGUUAUUUAUUCAGUAUAUGAAUCAUAGGGUGCAGCAGGUAACAUGAAAUUCAGGAUUAUGAUAAAAUGCAUGAUAGAGUCAACAUGAUGUCAGCCACCAUUGUCCUGUGCUAAGGGAAUCAGUGAAUCUUAAGACUGCCUUCUUCUAUAUCACCCUGCUUGAAUGUUAAGAUCUUUUAAGGCUCUUCUGAUGGAUAAGAGAAGAAAUAACAACUGCAAAACUUCCCAAGUACUCUUUUAGGUACGCUGUAGGGGAAUAUGUGCCUGAAGUCUUUCUUCUCUUUCUCCUCUAACAUUAUUAUAAAUUAUGUUUGUCUGGACCCUUUCAAUUUUUUAGGCUUUGGCCUCUAAGACACCAGGCAUUGUGUGUUUUAGCAGUCUGCUGCUGCCUUUGGAACUGCUUUCUAUUCUGCAUGUCAUGAACUGAAAAACAGUGCAUUAAAACCAAGCUAACACUUAAGAAUGUUCCAAAACAAGAAAGAAGCAACAAAAUCUUUACAUUAAUGCACAAAAGGAGAAUCAAUCUUCCAUAGAGAAAUGUAGGGGGAAAGGUGAAAGGCCUUCCAAUAGAAACACAUUUCUUAACUACAGUCUAUGCUUGCAAUGUUUACAAAAGUUGAAAACUGAACACAACACUGUGUUGGAAAGUGAUAAACUUGUUCUGUAGUCUUGCAAACUAUCUCUUGCUGCCUCCAGUCAUCAGGAAGGACAAAAAUGUCAACAUACCAUGGAAUUUGCUGAUAGAGCAAAGGGAAACCAUUUUCACAUAGGCUGGAUACAAUGCCAGAUUCAUCAGACUCCUGUUUGAUGACAUCUUGCAGAUCAUCUACCAGCGCUCCUGUAACAGCGACUUUAUGAGUACACAGUGGAGUGGAACUUAAAGCGGGAUUGUCCAGAUCCAGACUUUCUUGGAUAGAAGAAGUGCUGAAGAACUGCAAAGAAUGACCAAUGGAGGUGGGCCACAUUUGGAGCCAGUCAAGGACUUUGGCAAGGCAAAGGAAUCCUGACUCAACAUGGCUUUGCUUAAGUCUGCAAGAGAGUGUCCUUCCAGCUUACACACAUUGCUGUCUGUUUUCUGAAGCUGUGGGGUCCUGUCUGAGGGAACCUGGGUAGGUGAAGCAUUUGAUGUUUCUGAGAAUUCAAAACUGCUGCGAUCACCCCAUGAUGACAGAUCCUGGAAACAAUGGGGGAAGCCACGAAUCUAUGAGAAAGUGCAUGUUCCUCCUACCUAUUUUAAGAAGCUCAACUGGAUUACUAACAUAACAGCAUUAACAAAAGGAGAAAGAUCGGUUCCUUUUUAAUUUGAGUUUGACCCAGUUGUGAUACUGUUCCAAAAUGUAAACAUUAAGAUACAAAUCACCCCAAUGAUAUUAUUUCAAAAAAGAAAUAUCUCAAACUGGCUGUUUAAUCAAUUGUAAAAAGUCUUGUUACACAAAGAUAUUCUCCACUGACUAAACUUAUACAAUAGCAACAUCCUUAAACAGAAAACUGUAUAUCAAUCAGUAUGUAUAAUGUUAUAAAUUUUAUGUAUCUCUUAGUUUAUUAAAACUCUCGUCUCAAACUACAGGGCCUAAAAGAAUUCUUACUCUUUAGUUAGAAUCCUUAAUACAAUGAUUUUAUUGAAAUUAUGAUUUAAAAAAACUCAACAGCACUAUAAAAAAAGCCAGGAUCCAAAAGUCUAAUAUAUUACUGAAACAAAAGAUGUAAUAUCAUAUUACUUUUACAGCUUAUGUAAUUUUUUUUGCUAUAAUUAGGCACACAUUAUUUAUAAAGUUUGCUUUUUAUUAAAUUUUUAUGCCACCUAUCUUCCUACAAGGUGACUCUGCGUGGUUAUUCAGCGAAUAGCUGUGUCAUCUGAAUAUUCAUAUUGAGCAGAAUUUCCAGGAUACGUGCAUUCUACAUUU